GUGCUCGCUUCAGCAGCACACAUACUAAA
rnacentral:snRNA from 1 species